rnacentral:tRNA from 1 species
GAAGAUAUAGCUCCGUGUAGGGCACGUGCUUAGCACACACAAGGUCCUGGGUUCAACCCCCAGUACCUCCA